rnacentral:rRNA from 1 species
CAGGCCUAACACAUGCAAGUCGAAUGGAUGGCCCUGCUUUUGUGGGGUGCUCGAGUGGCGAACGGGUGAGUAACACGUGAGUAACCUGCCCUUGACUUUGGGAUAACUUCAGGAAACUGGGGCUAAUACCGGAUAGGAGCUCCUGCUGCAUGGUGGGGGUUGGAAAGUUUCGGCGGUUGGGGAUGGACUCGCGGCUUAUCAGCUUGUUGGUGGGGUGGUGGCUUACCAAGGCUUUGACGGGUAGCCGGCCUGAGAGGGUGACCGGCCACAUUGGGACUGAGAUACGGCCCAGACUCCUACGGGAGGCAGCAGUGGGGAAUAUUGCACAAUGGGCGGAAGCCUGAUGCAGCAACGCCGCGUUUUUUUAUGACGGCCUUCGGGUUGUAAACCGCUUUCGCCUGUGACGAAGCGUGAGUGACGGUAAUGGGUAAGGAAGCACCGGCUAACUACGUGCCAGCAGCCGCGGUGAUACGUAGGGUGCGAGCGUUGUCCGGAUUUAUUGGGCGUAAAGGGCUCGUAGGUGGUUGAUCGCGUCGGAAGUGUAAUCUUGGGGCUUAACCCUGAGCGUGCUUUCGAUACGGGUUGACUUGAGGAAGGUAGGGGAGAAUGGAAUUCCUGGUGGAGCGGUGGAAUGCGCAGAUAUCAGGAGGAACACCAGUGGCGAAGGCGGUUCUCUGGGCCUUUCCUGACGCUGAGGAGCGAAAGCGUGGGGAGCGAACAGGCUUAGAUACCCUGGUAGUCCACGCUGUA